ACUCAUUUAGUAUAUUAAUAUAGUGAUUUUAGGGGUCAAAGAAUGAAGUUGUAUUCUUCAAUUGAGUG
rnacentral:tRNA from 1 species